AGUGAUUACAGCUGUGAGUCUUUAUAGGUAAGUCUCUAAGAGUGAUUACAGCUGUGAGUCUUUAUAGGUAAGUCUCUAAGAGUGAUUACAGCUGUGAGUCUUUAUAGGUAAGUCUCUAAGAGUGAUUACAGCUGUGAGUCUUUAUAGGUAAGUCUCUAAGAGCGAUUACAGCUGUGAGUCUUUAUAGGUAAGUCUCUAAGAGAGAUUACAGCUGUGAGUCUUUAUAGGUAAGUCUCUAAGAGAGAUUACAGCUGUGAGUCUUUAUAGGUAAGUCUCUAAGAGCGAUUACAGCUGUGAGUCUUUAUAGGUAAGUCUCUAAGAGUGAUUACAGCUCGUAAGUCUCCUGGGUUGUGUAACAGUUGCCCAUUAUUCUUUCAAAAUUCUUCACGCUCCGUCAAAUUGGUUGUUGAUGAUCGCUAAACAACAUUUUCAGGUGUUUUUCAAGCAGAUUUAAGUCAAAACUGUAACUCGG